UCGCUCUUCCUCUCUUUUGCCCAGUGCCCACCAUCAUCUCUCUUUCUCGUUCCGAUUUCUCUCACUAAAAUGGCCACUGCUCCUCCCACCGGCGACGCCCUGCUUCCCGCCUUCGGCCUCUGAGAAAAGCGGCACCUGCUUCCUGCUUUCGGCCUUCAAGAAAAGCGGCGCCGCAUCUCACCAGCCCUGCCUCUUCCUUAUGUCGCUCAACUCCAUCUUGGCAGGGAACGUCAUGAUCCCUAUUAGAGCCCGACGCCUCCUCGCGAAGAAGAUGAUCCGACCAAAGGUGGCAGCCUUGGCGACAGAGCUCCUCGUCUGACGGAGGCGGCAAGGAAGAUCUCGAGGUGAACAAGAUCGGAGGAAGUAGCGGCAACAAAGAGGGAGAAGAGGAUGCACAUGGCGUCGGAGGCCAGAGCGAUUCGAGGUGACGAGGUUCUAUCGAUGAAUCCUGGUUUUGGCCUCUGCUGGCUUUCGGCAGCGAUGCUGGAUUUAAUCAAGAGGCUUCAACGGCUCUCGUCGAAGGGGAUGGAUUCCCCGUAGAAGAGGAAGGUGUCGAUGGUGGAGAUGGCGGGAUCGGCGGAGAACUCGAACUCAUGGGGGUCUUAAAGCGGCAAAGUCGGAGGUAGAGCGAGCCAGAAUUCGUUGGGUUGGUCGAGGGUUGCCAAAGGGAUGUCAAGGAGAUGGAGUCUUCGCCGGCGUCGUCGGAGUCACGAGGAAGAUGGGUGUCUGACAUGGAUGAGGGAUUGUAAAAGAAUGAAAAGUUUCUAUAGCUUCCAUGGUUUAUUUUUAAUUUUGAUCCUACAAAUCAAAAGCUCAUUUGGAUAAUAUUUAUUUAAA